rnacentral:rRNA from 1 species
GACCCGUUAUCCGGGUUGCGGACAGUGUCUGGUGGGUAGUUUGACUGGGGCGGUCUCCUCCUAAAGAGUAACGGAGGAGCACGAAGGUUGGCUAAUCCUGGUCGGACAUCAGGAGGUUAGUGCAAUGGCAUAAGCCAGCUUGACUGCGAGCGUGACGGCGCGAGCAGGUGCGAAAGCAGGUCAUAGUGAUCCGGUGGUUCUGAAUGGAAGGGCCAUCGCUCAACGGAUAAAAGGUACUCCGGGGAUAACAGGCUGAUACCGCCCAAGAGUUCAUAUCGACGGCGGUGUUUGGCACCUCGAUGUCGGCUCAUCACAUCCUGGGGCUGAAGUAGGUCCCAAGGGUAUGGCUGUUCGCCAUUUAAAGUGGUACGCGAGCUGGGUUUAGAACGUCGUGAGACAGUUCGGUCCCUAUCUGCCGUGGGCGCUGGAGAACUGAGGGGGGCUGCUCCUAGUACGAGAGGACCGGAGUGGACGCAUCACUGGUGUUCGGGUUGUCAUGCCAAUGGCACUGCCCGGUAGCUAAAUGCGGAAGAGAUAAGUGCUGAAAGCAUCUAAGCACGAAACUUGCCCCGAGAUGAGUUCUCCCUGACUCCUUGAGAGUCCUGAAGGAACGUUGAAGACGACGACGUUGAUAGGCCGGGUGUGUAAGCGCAGCGAUGCGUUGAGCUAACCGGUACUAAUGAACCGUGAGG